ensembl:lncRNA
GGACAGAAAAACAGCCUAUCCCAAGAAUUGGAGGCCGUGGUUUCAGUACCCUCCUCCCUCUUCCCUUUUCCCAGUCCUGCGUGCUCUCUUUACCUUGUGAGGACACAGCAAGGUGGCCAUUUGCCACCAGGAAGAGAGCUCUCACCAGAAACUGAAUUGAUCAACAGCACAUUGAUCUUGGAUUUCUCAGCCUCCAAAACUACAACUGCAUAUAUCCUGAUGGAUUGACCCAUACCUUGGAAAGAGAGCCUGCUGUGACUGCAUCUGCAAUUUGAAUCAUGAUUUUCAAAAGAAUUAAACCAGAAAAAGAAAACUACCCUGGCAUG